GUAAUUUCCGGCUCCUGCCGGAAAUUACUCCUCAAAGGAGAUGAUCGAUGCAGGUCCAGGAUUAGACCUACGUUAAGGGGGUGAUGACACCCACAGGUGAACGCCAGCCUGUGGCUCUGUC
rnacentral:sRNA from 20 species